UCACAACAGCAGACGGAACUGACGGAGUGUUGUGGCCGUACAGUGUUUUUGAGAGAGAGAGAAGAAGAAGAGAGAGAGAGAGAUGACGAGGGGGAAGCAAAAGAUCGAAGCACAGAAAAAAAAUGCGGAGAAGAAUCAGAAAUCAAAAGGGUCUCAACUUGAAGCCCGAGCUGUUGGUCUCAAAGUCGUAUGCCCCAUUUGUAAAGCGCAGCUAGCAAAUCAAAAUCAACUUGUGGAUCACUAUGGCUCCAAACAUCCAAAGGAAAAGCCUCCAAGCAACUCAGGACAAUAAUAUAUGUUGCUUUUGAAAGCUUCUUGCUUGUGUCCUUCAAUCUUGAAAACGAGUGAGGUCUGUUAAAAACUUUGUGAAUUAUCAGAAUGGAUCUUGUUUGUGAAUAGCGUAAGCAGAAAUACAAAUAAAAUAUUAAACUGAUGAAGUCUUAUUUC